rnacentral:rRNA from 1 species
AACGAACGCUGGCGGCAGGCUUAACACAUGCAAGUCGAACGCAUCCUUCGGGGUGAGUGGCAGACGGGUGAGUAACGCGUGGGAACGUGCCCUUCAGUUCGGGAUAAGCCAGGGAAACUUGGGCUAAUACCGGAUACGUGCGAGAGCAGAAAGAUUUAUCGCUGAAGGAUCGGCCCGCGUCAGUUUAGCUAGUUGGUGGGGUAAUGGCGCACCAAGGCGACGAUCAGUCGUUGGUCUGAGAGGAUGAUCAGCCACAUUGGGACUGAGACACGGCACGACCUACUACGGGAGGCAGCAGUGGGGAAUAUUGGACACUGCGCGCAAGCCUGCUCCAACCAUGCCGCGUGAGUGAUGCAGGCCUUCGGGUUGUAAACCUCUUUUAGUAGGGAAGAAGCGAAAGUGACGGUACCUGCAGAAAAAGCACCGGCUAACUACGUGCCAGCAGCCGCAGUAA